CCCAGACUCCUACGGGAGGCAGCAGUGGGGGAUAUUGCACAAUGGGGGAAACCCUGAUGCAGCGACGCCGCGUGGGCGAAGAAGUAUUUCGGUAUGUAAAGCCCUAUCAGCAGGGAAGAAGAAAUGACGGUACCUGAGUAAGAAGCACCGGCUAAAUACGUGCCAGCAGCCGCGGUAAUACGGAGGAUGCGAGCGUUAUCCGGAUUUAUUGGGUUUAAAGGGAGCGUAGACGGCAUGGCAAGUCUGAUGUGAAAACCCGGGGCUCAACCCCGGGACUGCAUUGGAAACUGUCAGGCUAGAGUGUCGGAGAGGCAAGUGGAAUUCCUAGUGUAGCGGUGAAAUGCGUAGAUAUUAGGAGGAACACCAGUGGCGAAGGCGGCUUGCUGGACGAUGACUGACGUUGAGGCUCGAAAGCGUGGGGAGCAAACAGGAUUAAAUACCCCCGUA
rnacentral:rRNA from 1 species